UACGAAGGGGGCUAGCGUUGCUCGGAAUCACUGGGCGUAAAGCGCACGUAGGCGGAUUGUUAAGUCGGGGGUGAAAUCCUGGAGCUCAACUCCAGAACUGCCUUUGAUACUGGAGAGCUUGAGUCCGGAAGAGGUGAGUGGAACUCCGAGUGUAGAGGUGAAAUUCGUAGAUAUUCGGAAGAACACCAGUGGCGAAGGCGGCUCACUGGUCCGGUACUGACGCUGAGGUGCGAAAGCGUGGGGAGCAAACAGG
rnacentral:rRNA from 1 species